rnacentral:rRNA from 1 species
GACGAACGCUGGCGGCGUGCCUAAUACAUGCAAGUAGAACGCACAGUUUAUAUCGUAGCUUGCUACACAAUAGACUGUGAGUUGCGAACGGGGGAGUAACGCGUAGGUAACCUGCCUGGUAGCGGGGGAUAACUAUUGGAAACGAUAGCUAAUACCGCAUAAUAUUAAUUAUUGCAUGAUAAUUGAUUGAAUGACGCAACUGCAUCACUACCAGAUGGACCUGCGUUGUAUUAGCUAGUAGGUGAGGUAACGGCUCACCUAGGCGAGGAUACAUAGCCGACCUGAGAGGGUGAUCGGCCACACUGGGACUGAGACACGGCCCAGACUCCUACGGGAGGCAGCAGUAGGGAAUCUUCGGCAAUGGACGAAAGUCUGACCGAGCAACGCCGCGUGAGUGAAGAAGGUUUUCGGAUCGUAAAGCUCUGUUGUGAGAGAAGAACGGGUGUGAGAGUGGAAAGUUCACAAUGUGACGGUAUCUUACCAGAAAGGGACGGCUAACUACGUG